CGUGAGGGAAAGGUGAAAAGAACCCCGGGAGGGGAGUGAAAUAGAACCUGAAACCAUGUGCCUACAACCGAUCAAAGCACCUUAUGUGUGUGAUGAUGUGCUUUUUGUAGAACGAGCCAACGAGUUACGGUAUGUAGCGAGGUUAAGUACUUAAGGUACGGAGCCGAAGGGAAACCGAGUCUUAAUAGGGCGACUAGUUGCAUGCUGUAGACCCGAAACCGGGUGACCUAUCCAUGGCCAGGUUGAAGCGAGGGUAAAACCUCGUGGAGGACCGAACCACGUUGCUGUUGAAAAAGCAUGGGAUGAGCUGUGGAUAGCGGAGAAAUUCCAAUCGAACUCGGAUAUAGCUGGUUCUCCUCGAAAUAGCUUUAGGGCUAGCGUCGUGAAAUGUGAGUACUGGAGGUAGAGCACUGAAUAGGCUAGGGGGCAUAGCGCUUACCGAACCUUAUCAAACUCCGAAUGCCAGAUACUAUCAGCACGGCAGUCAGACUAUGAAAGAUAAGUUCCAUGGUCAAAAGGGAAACAGCCCAGAUCGUCAGCUAAGGUCCCAAAGUGUAAGUUAAGUGGAAAAGGAUGUGGGAUUUCUAAGACAACUAGGAUGUUGGCUUAGAAGCAGCCACUCAUUAAAAGAGUGCGUAAUAGCUCACUAGUCAAGAGAUCCUGCGCCGAAAAUGUCCGGGGCUCAAACUUACCACCGAAGCUACGGGUUCAUACUUUGUAUGAGCGGUAGAGGAGCGUCGUAAUCGGGCUGAAGUCGUACCGUAAGGAGCGGUGGACUGAUUACGAGUGAGAAUGUUGGCAUUAGUAGCGAGAUGUAGGUGAGAAUCCUACAGGCCGAAUAUCUAAGGUUUCCUGAGUAAAGUUUGUCUUCUCAGGGUUAGUCGGGACCUAAGGCGAGGCCGAGAGGCGUAGUCGAUGGACAAUUGGUUGAUAUUCCAAUACCACUAUAAUCGUUAUUAUCGAUGGUGUGACGGAGAAGGAUAGGAUGUGCCAGCUAUUGGAUGCUGGUCUAAGCGUUGAGGGAGUUAGAACAGGCAAAUCCGUUCUAACAAUCCUAGGGCGUGAUGGGGAAGGUUCUACGGAACCGAAGUAUCUGAUUUCAUGCUUCCAAGAAAAGCAUCUAGAAAGAGAAGUAGUGCCCGUACCGCAAACCGACACAGGUAGAUGAGGAGAGAAUCCUAAGGCCAUCGGAAGAAUUGCAGUUAAGGAACUAGGCAAAUUGACCCCGUAAGUUAGCGAGAAGGGGUGCCUGCGAGAGCAGGCCGCAGAGAAUAGGCCCAAGCAACUGUUUAGCAAAAACACAGGUCUCUGCUAAAGCGUAAGCUGAUGUAUAGGGGCUGACGCCUGCCCGGUGCUGGAAGGUUAAGGGGAACACUUAGCGCAAGCGAAGGUGUGAACUUAAGCCCCAGUAAACGGCGGCCGUAACUAUAACGGUCCUAAGGUAGCGAAAUUCCUUGUCGGGUAAGUUCCGACCCGCACGAAAGGUGUAACGAUUUGGGCACUGUCUCAACAAAGGAUCCGGUGAAAUUGUAGUAGUCGUGAAGAUGCGACUUACCCACGCUAGGACGGAAAGACCCCGUGGAGCUUUACUGUAGGCUGAUAUUGGAUUUUGAGAUUAAAUGUACAGGAUAGUUGGGAGACUGAGAUAUCUGGAUGCCAAUCUAGGAGGAGUCACUGGUGGGAUACCAACCUUUUAAUAUCAAAGUUCUAACCAUAGCCCUUGAAUCAGGGCAUGGGACAUUGUCAGUUGGGCAGUUUGACUGGGGCGGUCGCCUCCUAAAAAGUAACGGAGGCGUUCAAAGGUUCGCUCAGAAUGGACGGAAACCAUUCGCAGAGUAUAAAGGCAAAAGCGAGCUUAACUGCGAGAGCUACAACUCAAGCAGAGUCGAAAGACGGACUUAGUGAUCCGGUGGUACCGCAUGGAAGGGCCAUCGCUCAACGGAUAAAAGCUACCCCGGGGAUAACAGGCUUAUCUCCCCCAAGAGUCCACAUCGACGGGGAGGUUUGGCACCUCGAUGUCGGCUCGUCUCAUCCUGGGGCUGGAGUAGGUCCCAAGGGUUGGGCUGUUCGCCCAUUAAAGAGGCACGCGAGCUGGGUUCAGAACGUCGUGAGACAGUUCGGUCCCUAUCCAGCGUGGGCGUAAGAAAUUUGAGAGGAGCUGUCCUUAGUACGAGAGGACCGGGAUGGACGCACCAAUGGUGUACGAGUUGUUAGGCCACUAGCAUGGCUCGGUAGCUAAGUGCGGGAAUGAUAAGUACUGAAAGCAUCUAAGUACGAAGCAUGCCUCAAGAUAAGAUUUCU
rnacentral:rRNA from 1 species